AAUGGUGCACCGAGAUACGAGCUUGAUGGCGGGGGCGUUCUUCCCCCUUUAUCCCCUCCUCUGUUAACCCUUUUUGGCCGCAUCCUCUGUCCCAAGAUCCAUUCCCCAUCCUUCUCUCCCGAUUUUUUUAGCUCCCAUCACCAUUCCUUAAUUCUGACGCUUGGACACUCUCGCUGCUUCUCGUGCCACACCUCCGCUACCGAGAUUCGAUCGCCGACGACUUCGCCGGCGCCGUCUCCGCCGCCACCCUGUUUGUGGCGACAAUAUCCAUCAAAGCAACAUCUUUUAUAGGCAUAAUUUCCAUACUAUUUGCGGGAGGUUUUGAAAAGAGUCAGUUUUGCUGGUACCAUUUUGUUCAUUCUAUAUGCCUUUAUCAAGAGAAAUAUGUGGAUUUUCGACUCAACUGCUGAAUAUCUCCAUAGCUUCCCUGUGUAAAGCUAGGAAUUUAGAAAAAGCCGAGGCUGUUUUAAUUGACGGUAUAAGACUCGGAUAUAUUCCAGAUGUUGUAACAUACAAUACAUUGAUUACGGCAUAUUGCCGCUUUGUCGGGAUAAAUGAAGCAUACUCGAUUCUUUAUAGAAUGAGAGAAGCAGGCGUAAAACCUGAUGUAAUUACUUACAAUUCUUUAAUUGCUGGGGCUACUCGAUAUUGCCUUCCAUCACGCUCGCUGGAGCUGUUCGAAGAAAUGUUGCAGACUGGACUUGCUCCUGAUGAAUGGAGCUAUAACACUCUGAUGCACUGUUUGUUUAAAUCUGGAUACCCGGAGGAGGCCUACAAGAUUUAUAUGGAUAUGAUCUUGAAAAAUAUCACCCCUUCAUCGGCUACAUAUAAUACUUUAAUAAAUGGUUUGUGCAAGGUGGGGAAGGCAGGGAAUGCUCUGAGACUGUUUAGAAACUUGCAAAGGUUUGGGUUUUCUGCGGGGCUGGUGACAUAUAAUACAAUUAUAGACGGGCUCUGUAAAUCUGGCAGGAUGGGUCAGGCAAGAAGGAUUCUCAAGGAACUUGGAGAAUCAGGUUAUGCUCCAAAUGCCAUAACUUAUACGACAGUUAUGAAGUGCUGCUUUAGAUCUGGGAAAUUUGAGCAAGGAUUUGAGAUUUUUUCUGAAAUGAUGAAUAAAGGGUACAAUUCAGAUGUCUUUGCCUAUUGCACAGUAAUCAGCGCAUUGACCAAGAAAGGUAUGAUUAAAGAUGCUAAUGCUUGUGUCAAGCAAAUGUUGGGAAAUGGUAUUGGCCUUGAUAAAGCAUGUUAUAACACUCUAAUUUAUCUGCUUUGCAGAGAAGGAAAUUUAGAAACUGCAUUCCGGUUGCUGAAUGAGAUGGAAGAAGGUGGCCUUGAGGGUGAUGAGUAUACGUACUCUAUUUUGGUCGAUGCGUUGUGUAAAAUGGGUCACGUUGAUGCUGCCCACAAGCAGUUGCAAUUGAUGGAGAUGAGGGGCUUCCAGUCAAACUUGGUAGCUUAUAAUUGCUUGAUUGAUGGGCUGUGUAAGGUGGGAGAGGUGGAUUCUGCCAUGAAGUUAUUCAAUAAGAUGAAUUCCAAGGAUCCUUUCACAUACACAUCAUUGGUGCAUGGCCUAUGCAGGAAGGGUCGGUUUCGUGUGGCAUCCAAGCUCUUGCUGACUUGCUUAAGGGAAGGCAUGAAUGUUCUCAGAUCUGCCCAACGUGCCGUUACUGCUGGACUUCAAAGUUCGGGGUUUAAAAGGGAUGCAGGGAAGCUUAGGACAGCAUUACGCCUGGCUCAGCUUUCACGCUACUAAAUUAGGGAAAGGAAACAAAGAGAUUAUUUAUAUAUGAAAUUGCUCCAGGGAUACACUCUCAAGAGGAUGAAAACAUGGCUGUUGCUGCUCUGCGACUCGAAGCAAAGGAAGCAUUGGUGAUACACCUGAAUCUGAGAUGUUGCAUGAAAUUCCUUGCAUGGACUCGAUCUAACAACUCUCUUUGAUAGAGGAAGUAGCCCUUGAAAGGACCAAGUGAUUGAGCCUGGAAUAAAGCACUUCUUACCUUAUGAGCCAGACCCAUCUACCAAAGGAGUCAAACUUGCUUUGGAAUCUUUCCAGAAUGUUGUAUCUCUACCUGCUUCCUACACAAUUCGCUAUUCAAAUAUUUUCUAGAAAUCCAGUUCCUGGUCCUGGUCCUGCUCUUGAUUCAGGUGACGAGCCUUAUUCACUCUUGGCCUUUCCAAAAUGUAACCACAACAAACUUGAAGGCUCCAUGAGCACCUAUUUCAGAGAAAGUGAGACAAAUUGUGCAUUCCAAGUCGAGACUUGAUCCACAACUGAAGGUACUCUCCUAAGCUCAUAUCUGGGGAUCCUAGAAGUAGGACCCAAUUUGGACAACUGGGUAGUUACAAGUUUGGUUGCGCAUAGGAGGGCAUCAGAAGUCGCUUCACUUAUGGGGGAAGUCGCUUCAGGUGUUUGGUUGUCCUGAAGUGGCCCAUACUGGGUUCCCACUGUGAGAGGAACUGUGCUAAAAAAUGCAGGAACUUUGGCUGGCAGGGAGCCGAAGUCACUUAGGCAAAGUGAGUUGCACCAUCUACUUAUGAGAAACCAACAAGCAUUAGAUUGCAUCCGGAGUUAUGAAUACACUCCAAGAUGCAGUGUCAGUCCAUUGCAGACGGAAUGCAUGGCGGGAGAGAAGAUGACAUUAAGUAGCCCUAAGGAACUCGGAAGAUGAGACAUGAUACGCACCAUUCCUUGCUUCCACACACAAUUUCUUAUCUUGGUAAAGCUCGUAUUGAUAAGUGGUUUAGAAUAGUGGUUUAGUCUGUGGAAGUGUUUGCCCAUUGUCUACCUGUGUUCAUAAGGUAUAUAGAUGGCCAUUUGUAUGCUGGCCCUGGCUGUGUCCAAACCCUGCACAGAUUCUUGCUGGUCCAUGGAAGGUAGAUGCAGUUUGGUUGGAGUCACGACUCUGCUGAAGUGAUAGCGGUACUAACAUAGAUUGCAGUGUUCUCCUUGAGAAAAACGAGGAUGGUCUCUCGUGGGCCACACACGUCUACAGGAAGACGAACAGCAUGGCCGAUGGGUGGCCUCAUUUGCAGCCCACCACUUGGGAGGAUUCAUCUGGGGCGACCGUGCAUCAGUGCCUCGGUCUCUGUAUUAUCUUUUCUUUUCUGAUUUUGUUUGUUGUACUCAUAUCCGACGCGUGUAAGUUGCCGUUGCACCCAAACAAACAAACAAAAAAAAAGGACUUGUGUUAAAUCUUCAAAG